rnacentral:rRNA from 1 species
GACGUAGGGCGCGAGCGUUGUCCGGAUUUAUUGGGCGUAAAGAGCUCGUAGGCGGCUUGUCGCGUCGACUGUGAAACCCGCGGCUCAACUGCGGGCCUGCAGCCGAUACGGGCAGGCGUAGAGUUCGGUAGGGGAGACUGGAAUUCCUGGAUGUAGCGGUGAAAUGCGCAGAUAUCAGGAGGAACACCGGUGGCGAAGGCGGGUCUCUGGGCCGGAACUGACGCUGGAGGAGCGAAAGCGUGGGAGCAAACGGG